UACGGAGGGAGCUAGCGUUGUUCGGAAUUACUGGGCGUAAAGGGCGCGUAGGCGGUCAGCACAAGUCAGUUGUGAAAUCUCCGGGCUUAACUCGGAAAGGUCAACUGAUACUGUGCGACUAGAGUGCAGAAGGGGCAACUGGAAUUCUCGGUGUAGCGGUGAAAUGCGUAGAUAUCGAGAGGAACACCUGCGGCGAAGGCGGGUUGCUGGGCUGACACUGACGCUGAUGCGCGAAAGCGUGGGGAGCAAACAGG
rnacentral:rRNA from 1 species